GGGGUGAAGAGCACUUUGAUCCGCUCCGAACCCCCUCGGAUGAUGGUGGAGCGCUGCUGCUGGUCGGAUGAGAGCUGAGCCACGGCUAGACAGAGGGCAAAGCCAAAGCAGAGCAGCAGAGUCAGACAGUGAGGACGCAUGGGUUGACCAGCCAUGAAUAACAGCACCUGCUGCCACAAACGUUGGGUCUGGAGAAACACAGACAGAGAUCAAAAGGCUGUGCCAAAUCAGUCUGAUCGGCAUAAUCACAUUUUAACCACUUCUGAAAGGACAUCUUUAAAAGACUUACAAUCUGUGGCCCUGGGCCCCUUAAGAUGCAUUGGACUCAGUGAAUAGCCUUAUGUUUAAGAUGACCCUUCACCUCAUGUUGUAUUCAGCUUGGGCAAAUAGCGCCGAUGAAUAAAAAUGAAAAAGGGA